CUGAGGGGGGCUGCUCCUAGUAAGAGAGGACCGGAGUGGACGCAUCACUGGUGGUCGGGUUGUCAUGCCAAUGGCACUGCCCGGUAGCUAAAUGCGGAAGAGAUAAGUGCUGAAAGCAUCUAAGCACGAAACUUGCCCCGAGAUGAGUUCUCCCUGACUCCUUGAGAGUCCUGAAGGAACGUUGAAGACGACGACGUUGAUAGGCCGGGUGUGUAAGCGCAGCGAUGCGUUGAGCUAACCGGUACUAAUGAACCGUGAGGCUUAACCUUACAACGCCGAAG
rnacentral:rRNA from 1 species